GGGAUAUUGGUCAAUGGGGGGAACCCUGAACCAGCCAUGCCGCGUGAGGGAAUGAGGCCCUACGGGUCGUGAACCUCUUUUAUCUGGGGACAAUACGGGGCACGCGAUGCCCCGUUGAGGGUACCAGAGGAAUAAGCAUCGGCUAACUCCGUGCCAGCAUCCGCGGUAAUACGGAGGAUGCGAGCGUUAUCCGGAUUCAUUGGGUUUAAAGGGUGCGCAGGCGGCUCGUCAAGUCAGCGGGGAAAGCCCGGGGCCCAACCCCGGAAGUGCCGUUGAUACUGUCGGGCUGGAAUGCGGUCGAGGCGGGCGGAACGUGGCGUGUAGCGGUGAAAUGCGUAGAUAUGCCACAGAACGCCGAUAGCGAAGGCAGCUCGCCAGGCCUGCAUUGACGCUCGGGCACGAAAGCGUGGGGAUCGAACA
rnacentral:rRNA from 1 species